rnacentral:rRNA from 1 species
GAUGAACGCUGGCGGCGUGCCUAAUACAUGCAAGUCGAGCGAACAGAUGAGGAGCUUGCUCCUCUGACGUUAGCGGCGGACGGGUGAGUAACACGUGGAUAACCUACCUAUAAGACUGGGAUAACUUCGGGAAACCGGAGCUAAUACCGGAUAAUAUAUUGAACCGCAUGGUUCAAUAGUGAAAGACGGUUUUGCUGUCACUUAUAGACGGAUCCGCGCCGCAUUAGCUAGUUGGUAAGGUAACGGCUAACCAAGGCAACUAUGCGUAGCCGACCUGAGAGGCACAUUAACCACAAUGGGACUAAGCCACGGCCACGACUCCUCCGGGAGGCAGCAGUGGGCAAUAUCCGGCAAUGGACGAAAGCCUGACGGAGCAAAACCGCGUGAAUGAUGAACCUCUUCGGAUCGUAAAACUCUAAUAUUAGGAAAAACCAAAUGUAUAAGUAACUGUGCACAUCUUGACGGUACCCCAUCAGAAAGCCACGACUAACUACGUG